UUGACUGAUGGUUGGAUCAACAUCCUGAGUUUGGUGCCAAACGCACCAUUAAAUAGUGUUGUAAGAUUUUAUGUUUUAUGUGUUUUUAUUCGUUGUUUUAUUAUCUUUAAUUUUCAAGCAUAUUGUAAAGUGUUUAUAUAUUUCACAAAAUUUGCUGUACUUCCCCAUUUCGCAAGACUUGUUGUACUUUUCCACUGUCAUGCGAACUGACAGUGAACCCUGCAACACAAACUAUCUAAGCAGGAAACAGAUGCAACACCUAAACCACAAGAGUUUAAAAGUGCACCACGUUUCUUAAAAGAAGCAGCCAUACACACAUAUAACUCACACAUACACACCCACAUACAACCGUUGGUUUAGAGGAACUUGCUUAAAGAAAAUGUGAUGUGUUUGCAUACGCGAUGUAACCUAUAAAUAAAGAACUGUCGCCUGCACUCAGGGUGUGUGUCUCGCCAGAGUCCUCACCCGUGCACGUUGCUGUUAUUAUAUUCUAAUUGUCUGAGUGUCUUUAUUCAACCUGAAGAAUGUCUUAUUUAAAAAUAAACUCCUGACAUUUAAUUGGUCCUUCGAGCCGGAUUUAGGACAUCGAAUUAUAACUAAUUUUAUGCUCCAACGGAGUGACCUCGUCGUUUCCUGACAUCGUGGAGAGCCCGCGCUGAAGUCUGUCGACAGCCUCUUUCCUAUGAAGGAGAAAAGACCAACUACGUGAAUUCGGGGUUGGCCAGCGUUCUUAGUAAGAGGUCCACGAUCCUGGGGAACAAGGAGGAAUCUCUGACCGGCACUUAUAUCAUCAUAACCAGUCUCUUCCAGGUUGAAACCAGGCGACUGGAUCCUGAUCAAGGUACUCCAGAGGAAAAACUGGAGCUCUCCGAGGUGGGAGGGCCCUUAUCAGGUCCUGCUCACAACACCGACAGCGUGCAAAAUCGCUGAAAGACCUUUGUGGAUCCACCAGAGCCACGCCAAAAAAGUACAAGGGGACACAAGCCCAGACGCCAGUCCACCUAUCAUCUAGUGAUCUGUAAGUGGAGGAGAGGGCAGAUUGGGUAUACCCCGCCCUCUUGACUUCUCGCUUUCAGUCGACACACUAGGUGAUCUGGUGAACUUGGUCGACCUGAAGAAACCCCAUUGUAGCCCGAGCACCGACCUAGCCCCACCUGCCCGGUAGAGUAAAGGAAGAUCAGUCCAACCUGCAAAACCGGAAGAGCAACCCAUCACUCAAGUAACUACUCAGACACUCACAAACAAUGCCUGACACAGAGAUGCAGUAUGAACUUUCAGACAUUUCAGAUGGAGAGGACCCAAUUUCCAGCGGGACUCAAGGACAACAAUACUGGUCAGAGGAGUGCAAAUUAAUGACAAUCAUAACAUUGUGUUUUCUUGUUGUAUCUUCAGUGUUUAUCUCAAUAACCAUAGUAUGCAUGAACAUUGCUUGUACAAAUAACCCCUGUAAUCCAUAUUGUCCAAAAGGUUACUCACCCACAACAAACAGCUCAGACCCAUGUAACGAAUGGACACAAAAACAGACAGUAAGUCGUGAAAAACGCUCCACGAAAUCACACCUACAACCCCCAAAAGGUAACUCAUGGUAUGAUCAACUUAAUGCAUCAGCUACUGAUGCCAAUAGAAUAAAUUGUGUGGUGUGUGCAGAAGCUCGCCCAAAAUUAAAGAUAGUCGGCUACCCUAUCCCAAAUGGUUCAUUAACAGACGGAAACGGGGUGGGGUGGGGAGCCUGGUCAGCAACUAUAGGUAAUAGCGGAGCUGAUAUGACACAGGUACAUCCGCUUGAUUGUCUACUGAAGUCUAUAGAGUAUGUGUGAAAUAUAUUAACAACAGGAGGGAAUGUUGUAAGAUUUUAUGUUUUAUGUGUUUUUAUUCGUUGUUUUAUUAUCUUUAAUUUUCAAGCAUAUUGUAAAGUGUUUAUAUAUUUCACAAAAUUUGCUGUACUUCCCCAUUUCGCAAGACUUGUUGUACUUUUCCACUGUCAUGCGAACUGACAGUGAACCCUGCAACACAAACUAUCUAAGCAGGAAACAGAUGCAACACCUAAACCACAAGAGUUUAAAAGUGCACCACGUUUCUUAAAAGAAGCAGCCAUACACACAUAUAACUCACACAUACACACCCACAUACAACCGUUGGUUUAGAGGAACUUGCUUAAAGAAAAUGUGAUGUGUUUGCAUACGCGAUGUAACCUAUAAAUAAAGAACUGUCGCCUGCACUCAGGGUGUGUGUCUCGCCAGAGUCCUCACCUGUGCACGUUGCUGUUAUUAUAUUCUAA